CUAAAAUAAAUGUUCUUGAGUUUUCUGGCAUGUAGCAAAUAGAAAUAGUUUUGUUAAUUCUAAAUGAGCUGAAACAAGAAACGUUUAGUCUGAUUUAAUUUCAG